rnacentral:lncRNA from 1 species
GUUCUGACAUUAAGUCCUAAGUCUGGCUUAGGUACCGGAUUAGGCUUGGUGUGUAUUUGGUUAUUGUAGGCCUGACGUUGGCCUGUAUGUGUUUGAGGGAUUGCUUGUGAAGGGUGGUGGAUAUUAAAGCUAUGCGGUAUCAUUGGUUGGUCGAUCAUGUUCUUGUUUGAUUGUUGGUCGAUCGACUAGUGAUACUUGUAUAGUCUAAGUGUCUAACACUACAUGAGUACUGAACUCAGGCGUAUAUAUGGUUAACUAGGGAUUGGUUGUUGACUUGUUUUUAUGCAGGUUCCCGUUACUUGAAGCUAGAUCAUGGCAGGAGGCCAAGUCUAACUUAGUAACGGUUUGCUUAGCCUUAGCUUUUAUUGCAUGCUAGGGCUAGAUUGAUUGUUAUUUUGGGUUGUCUGGGUUAGAGUCUAGGUUGCGGGUAGAGGCCGCCAGCUCACUGAGUAACAUUAGGUUACUCAUCCAACUCCGUUGUCCUUUUUGCAGGUCGCUUUAGGUAAGGAUGAUCGGAUAGCUUGGUGCUGGACGUUAGGACCGCCGGUGUAGAUUUUCAUGCCUUUUGUAAACGGUAUUGUGGAUUUGUGUUUAGUUGACUCGAUUUGGCAUUAGGCCGGGCCCAGUCUUGCAUUAUUCAAUGUAUGAAUAUUUCGGGAAUCAAUAAAAGUAAUUGUUUUAUAUGCGCUUCAUGAGUACUCUGAUAUUUGACUAGUCCGGUCUAACACAAUGUUAGGUCGAGGUACGGGUUGAAAAGCCUUAGGCCUUGAUCUAACGGAAAACGCUAACUCUAGGUACGGGUUGCAAAGCCUUAUGCCUUGACGCAGCGGGACGAGUUAGUGGAUGAACUGGUCUAGGUCGUGGAGUAAAGUUUGUGACUCUGACCGGAUCAUCCCUAGCCCGUCACGUAGCGCUUCCGGACCAUGGUGUUGGGUUGGACGGUCAGUCAUGUUCUUGUUUGAUUGUUGGCUGGGCGGUUGGCCUUUCAUCUCCAACCCUUGGUGUGGGUCGUCCGUCGGUCAUGUUCUUGUUUGAUUGUUGGCCGGUGGGUCGACCUAUGCUUAGGACAGUUCGGGGGUGUUACAGAGGUGGUAUCAGAGCCAGGUUUCGUCCAUGCUUCUGGAACUCAUGAUUUAAUCGGUUUUCGAAUUUUUUAUCGAGUCAAAAUGAGUCACAAAAGGCAUUAGGGAAACCGGUCACGUCCAGCGAUAGGAUUUGUGGUUUUAGGAAUUAGGAUUGAGAUAGUGGAAUCUAGAAUUGCUAGGUUGCUUGGUUAUAACUGUUAGGUUGCUAGUUAGCAUUGCUAGGUUGUUGUAAGUAGACUAUUGGGAUUAGUUGUCUACUAACUUGUGUGUGAAGUGUUCUUUUGAGUUGCAGCGAGUAAGUGUGUUUGUUGAUCGGUACUUUAAGGGAUGAAAACCUUAAAGUGGAGGGACUUCGAGGCCAAACCCUAACCCGAAGCAGAAGAGGAGAGACAGAUUCAGAGAACUAGGCUGUGGUAUGGACUUGACAGAUGGGAGGAAACAAGACUUCGUUGGGAAAGGGCUUCAUCAGUAGUUGGGAAGACGAAGAUCGAGAAAGGAUUUGAGGAAUCUGGACAAGGAUGAUAUCUACCGAAAGGAAAAGAUAGUAUCAUGGGCAAUCAGUGUGUUAUGGCAGAGCAACAAUAAGAGAUGAUCCAGUGAUCAUUCAACAGAAGACGAUUGUGGAGGCCUUGAAGAGGACACUCAAGGAACACUUGUGGACAGAGUAAAGAGGUUAUGGAGACGAGUGGAGAAUGUUAUGAAGACGAGAAAUUGCGCAACUAAGAAUUCGAGGACGAAUUCUAUUAAGGAGGGGAGAAUGUAGAAACCCGUUGAAAAAAAAAAAAAAAAAGAAGAAUGGUCGAGUAUCUUUCUGGUGGCCGAGUCGCGGGUGAUAACGAUCGAUCGAGAAGUUUUGAAGUACGAGGUGGGCGAAGAAGUGAUCGUGAGUUAACUAUGGGUCGAAUAAGUUGCUCGACCAUAGUUAGAAGAUGUCUUAGAUUGAUGAGACAGACGUUUUCGAAGCAUAACAUUUUUGGAAGCAUGACGGUUUAGAAGCUCGACGUUUUGGAAGAAUGACGUUUCUUCAGCACGAAGUUUUCUGCAAAACUUCGUAUCAGCGGAAUAUUGUUUUGAAGACAUUGGAAACAUGAUGGGAAUUAAGCACGACGGAAGUAAUCACGAUGGGAAGCAAGCACGACGGGAUUGAGGCACGAAGGGAAAACCCGAAAUUGGACGAAAGCCCUAAUUUCGGUAUUAUGAAAAUUUUCGAGGAAGCCGGAGGCUCAGGACAUAUUUUCCCUCAAAUUCAGAGAUCAAGUGGAGUUUAUUAUAAAAUUUCUGAGCAUAAGAGAGGCUGUAGAAAAAUAUUUGGGAUUGAUUGCGGGAUGAAAAUUCACCGGAAUGAUCGAAAUCAGGCGAAUGGACCGAGAAGCUCGAGGUGUCUUGUUGCAUGGGAUCAGAACGUGGUGUCAGCCAUCUUACAAGCUGAGUGUCUACAGAAGCACGAGGUGUUGCCGUGCAUGGAAGCUGCACAUGCAGCUUGACAUGUCGAAGCACGAGGUGGAUCGACCAAGCACGAGGUGUCUCCGCGUAUGCAACCGAAGCAUGCGGCCAGCCAUGUGUGUGAUGCUGUGACGCCUUGCAUGAGUUCCAGUCAUGCAACCUGACAUCUGGGAGGAGUGGUGGCGUCCUGCAUGUGUCCUGGACAUGCAGCCAGCCAUGUGGAGCACGAAGUGCCGCCGCGCAUGCGUCCGGAGCCUUGCAGAACGACACACGGGCAGCCACCAACCUGAAUCUGAUUGGCUGGUGUUUUCUAUAAAUACCCAGCCACCCCCUUCAGUUUCAGACAUCCAGACCACACCAAAGAAACUUCAAAACGUGGCUAGAGAGAGAGAGAGAGAGAAAAUGAAAGUGUUCGAUCUAAAGUUUGAUCGAUUCUAAAGACUGAGAAGGCCAGCUCCGUCCAAUCGAUGAUUCUCUAUGAUUGUGACGCGGAAGCUCUGUCCAACUCAAUCCGUCCAAGCCAAUCAUAUUCUCCUACAAUCAAGUGGAGGUGCUGUCCAAGAUUAGUUCAGUUCCACGGAUUCAUAUCAGUCGAAGUUCUGCUCGAUGCUCCUCCGGAAAGUCCGAAGAACAGCCGAGGAGCUAAAGAAGGUUCUGUUCAGAUCAGUCUGUCCAGACGUGUCAGUUUCUUCAUGAUGAAGCCUAGGUUAUGUCCAAGUCAAGAUCAGUCAAGUCCAGUCAAGUCGUCCAUGGGGUUUUGGCCAAGUCCUCUCCGAUCAACCAGCUGCUUCUCGCCUAGAACACUGUGAGUUGGUUUGUUUGAAUUCCACUUGAAAUUUAGGGUAGAUCGAGUCGCAUAUAGAGUAGAUUGAUCACGCUAUUGAAUGGUAGAGUCCUUAGGGUUAUUUUAUUUAUGGAACCGGACUCAGUUUAGCAAGGGCUAAGCUGAGAUGAAUGGAAUUAAGACUGAGUUGAUAACCUGAUUAGGACUAAGAAUAGGAUGCAUCAUGUUUUCUAUUCUUGCAUGUUGAUAUGGUUGAGUGCAGGUUCCCGUUAUCUUUAAAGAUAGUGUCGUAGCAGGAGGCCGAACUAUCUGGGUAACGGUUUAAUUGAGUAGAUUGAUUGAGUAGAUUUAAUUAAAUGCUUGCUUGUUAAUUAAUGCUUGUUGAUUGAGGUUAGUCAGCUCUUGGUAAGGGAGUGGGUUAUGGAACCCUCGAGUCAGUGUAGCACCGAUAUACGGUCUUACGAGUUAGAUCGAGUCGUAGAUACUCAUAGUCUUAUUAUUGUGUUUGUGGUUGACUGAUUUGCUUGCAGGUUCUGACAUUAAGUCAUAAGUCCGGUUUAGGUACCGGAUUAAGCUUGGUGUGUAUUUGGUUAUUGUAGGCCUGACGUUGGCAUGUAUGUGUUUGAGUGAUUCCUUGUGAAGGGUGGUGGAUAUUAAAGCUAUGCGGUAUCAUUGGUUGGCCGAUCAUGUUCUUGUUUGAUUUUCGGUCUAAUGAUACUUGCAUAGUCUAAGUGUCUAACACUACAUGAGUAUUGAACUCAGGCGUAUAUAUGGUUAACGAGGGAUUGUUUGUUGACUUGUUUUAAUGCAGGUUUCCUUUACUUGAAGCUAGAUCAUGGCAGGAGGCCAAGUCUAACU